GACGAACGCUGGUGGCGUGCUUAACACAUGCAAGUCGAACGGGAUUUCGUAAACAGAAGCCUCGGUGGAAGUUUACUAUAGAGAGUGGCCCACGGGUGAGUAACGCGUGAGCAACCUGCCUUUCUCAGAGGGAUAGCCUCGGGAAACCGGGAUUAAUACAUCAUAAAAUCGUUGAAACACAUGUUUUAACGUUCAAAGCUUUAUCGGUCAUAGAUGGGCUCGCGUUUGCUUAGCUAGUUGGGGAGAUAACAGCCAACCAAGGCGACGAUCAGUAGCCGGUCAGAGAGGAUGGACAGCAACAUUGGAACUGAGGCACGUUACACACUCCGGCGGGAGGAGGCAGUAAGGAAUAUCGCACAAUGAAGAAACUGCUGCUGCAGCGCCGCGGGGUGGACGAAGAAGUUCGGCAUAUAAAGAAGUUCCGUCUGAGAAGAAGAUAAUGACAGUACCAAAGAAAAAAGCGCCGGCUAAAUACGUG
rnacentral:rRNA from 1 species